rnacentral:ncRNA from 1 species
AAACGGGGAGCUCUUUUAGGGCUGAGAAGGAAUCGCCGGAUUCUUGACCCAUAACCUGAUUUGGAUAAUGCCAACGUAGGGAAAUACU